rnacentral:lncRNA from 1 species
AAUAAGUUUUUUUUUCGAGAGAGAAGUGAGAUUUUUGGAUUAUUAGUAUGAGAAAAAGUUUUUCAUAUAUAUAUUUCUGGGUGAGAUUGGAGCUGAAGACAUGGGGGUUUUUGUCUCAACUCUCAAGUUCAAGCUCAAAUCCUCUGUUACAUGAGAUGGUUUAUUUUAUUUUUGUGAAUUUUUUAAGAAAUUAAAGAAUUAUUUCCAUUAAUUUUGGAAAUUUUUUAUUCAUAGUGGGUCAGUCCUGGAAGAGUGGA